rnacentral:rRNA from 1 species
AGAGUUUGAUCCUGGCUCAGGACGAACGCUGGCGGCGUGCCUAACACAUGCAAGUCGAACGGACUAACGUUUAGCACUGAGUGUUCAGUGAAGUUGGUUAAAGCGAGAGCUCGAACGUAGUGAAGCGAAGAGAGAGCUCCAGGCUUUAUAAGUGCCAACACAGUGUGCUAAAGGGAAACAGUAAGAACACUGAGUGCUAGACGUUAGUUAGUG